rnacentral:rRNA from 1 species
CCAGACUCCUACGGGAGGCAGCAGUGAGGAAUAUUGGUCAAUGGGCGAGAGCCUGAACCAGCCAAGUCGCGUGGGGGAGGACGGCCCUACGGGUUGUAAACCUCUUUUGCCGGGGGACAAACGGCGGCACGCGUGCCGUCCUGAGGGUACCCGGAGAAAAAGCAUCGGCUAACUCCGUGCCAGCAGCCGCGGUAAUACGGAGGAUGCGAGCGUUAUCCGGAUUUAUUGGGUUUAAAGGGUGCGUAGGCGGGAUGCCAAGUCAGCGGUCAAAUACGGGGGCUCAACCUGCGUCCGCCGUUGAAACUGCAUCCCUUGAGUGCGCGAGAAGUAUGCGGAAUGCGUGGUGUAGCGGUGAAAUGCAUAGAUAUCACGCAGAACUCCGAUUGCGAAGGCAGCAUACCGGCGCGCAACUGACGCUCAUGCACGAAAGCGUGGGUAUCGAACAGGAUUAGAUACCCCGGUA